ensembl:lncRNA
UCUCAUCAGUUCUCUCCUCUUUUCUUCUCUCCUCCUCCCUUCUCAUCAGUUCUCUCCUCUUCCCUUCUCAUCAGUUCUCUCCUCUUUUCUUCUCUCCUCCUCCCUUCUCAUCAGGUCUCUCCUCUUUUCUUCUCUCCUCUUCCCUUCUCAUCAGGUCUCUCCUCUUUUCUUCUCUCCUCUUCCCUUCUCAUCAGGUCUCUCCUCUUUUCUUCUCUUCCCUUCUCAUCAGUUCUCUCCUCUUUUCUUCUCUCCUCUUCCCUUCUCAUCAGUUCUCUCCUCUUUUCUUCUCUCCUCCUCCCUUCUCAUCAGUUCUCUCCUCUUUUCUUCUCUCCUCUUCCCUUCUCAUCAGUUCUCUCCUCUUCCCUUCUCAUCAGUUCUCUCCUCUUUUCUUCUCUCCUCUUCCCUUCUCAUCAGGUCUCUCCUCUUUUCUUCUCUCCUCUUCCCUUCUCAUCAGUUCUCUCCUCUUUUCUUCUCUCCUCUUCCCUUCUCAUCAGUUCUCUCCUCUUUUCUUUUCUUCUCUUCCCUUCUCAUCAGUUCUCUCCUCUUUUCUUCUCUCCUCUUCCCUUCUCAUCAGGUCUCUCCUCUUUUCUUCUCUCCUCUUCCCUUCUCAUCAGUUCUCUCCUCUUUUCUCCUCUUCCCUUCUCAUC